GGUCCCGUAGCUCAGUUGGAUAGAGUAUCGGUUUCCGAAGCCGAGGGUCAUGAGUUCGAAUCUCAUCGGGAUCGCCA
rnacentral:tRNA from 1 species